UAACUUAGUGGCGGACGGGUGAGUAACGCGUGGAUAACCUGCCGUGUACAGGGGGAUAACACUUAGAAAUAGGUGCUAAUACCGCAUAAGCGCACAACUUCGCAUGAAGAAGUGUGAAAAGCCGAGACGGUACACGAUGGAUCCGCGUCCGAUUAGCCAGUUGGCGGGGUAGAGGCCCACCAAAGCGACGAUCGGUAGCCGGCCUGAGAGGGUGACCGGCCACAUUGGGACUGAGACACGGCCCAAACUCCUACGGGAGGCAGCAG
rnacentral:rRNA from 1 species